GAUGAACGCUGGCGGCGUGCCUAAUACAUGCAAGUCGAGCGAACAGACGAGGAGCUUGCUCCUCUGACGUUAGCGGCGGACGGGUGAGUAACACGUGGAUAACCUACCUAUAAGACUGGGAUAACUUCGGGAAACCGGAGCUAAUACCGGAUAACAUGUUGAACCGCAUGGUUCAACAGUGAAAGACGGUUUUGCUGUCACUUAUAGAUGGAUCCGUGUCGCAUUAGCUAGUUGGUAAGGUAACGGCUUACCAAGGCAACGAUGCGUAGCCGACCUGAGAGGGUGAUCGGCCACACUGGAACUGAGACACGGUCCAGACUCCUACGGGAGGCAGCAGUAGGGAAUCUUCCGCAAUGGGCGAAAGCCUGACGGAGCAACGCCGCGUGAGUGAAGAAGGUCUUCGGAUCGUAAAACUCUGUUAUUAGGGAAGAACAAAUGUGUAAGUAACUAUGCACGUCUUGACGGUACCUAAUCAGAAAGCCACGGCUAACUACGUG
rnacentral:rRNA from 1 species